rnacentral:ncRNA from 2 species
UUCUUAUCUAGAAUGGUGGAGGGACUGGCCCAAUGAAACCUAACAACCGGCAUUAUCAUUUCAAUGUACGGUGUUAAUUCCUGCAAAACUUAUGUUUUGAAAGAUAAGAA